rnacentral:lncRNA from 1 species
GCGGAGACUUUUUGUAAAAUUUUCCUUUAUUGGGACAGAUAAAGUGUCCCCUCGACUGCAGAGAUGUUUUCUCAACUGGUAUUCAGAUGAUUGACCACACUACUUGAGUAAAGGACUGGAUUUAUCAUUCGUAUCCUGUGACCUAUGUGUAAAGCGUCACCCUCUUGUCUUUUCUUUAGAUGGUACAUAAGGGUGGUUGUUCCUUAUGUCAUCCCUACGAAAUGUCUUUUUGUUUUUUAAGCAGAUUUUAGGAUUGUACAAUAAUGAUGUUUAUUGUUUUGUUUUGUUAUGUUAUGUUAUGUUAUGUUUUGUUAUUUUUUGUUGUUUUUUGUUGUUGGUUUAUUGUUUGUUUUGUUAUGUUAUGUUAUGUUAUGUUAUGUUUUGUUUUUUUUUGUUUUUGUUUUUGUUUUUUGUUUGUUUGUUUUUUGUAUUUGUAUUUUUAUGUUUUUUGUUUUUGUUUGUUUUGUUUUGUUUUUGUUUUUGUUUUUUUUUGUUUUUUGUUUUGUUUUUGUUUUUGUUUGUUUUUUUGUUUUGUUUUUGUUUUUGUUUUUAUUUUGCUUGUUUUUGUUUUAAUGAGCUGAGUGGAUUGAGCCGUAAACUUCAAAACUUGUAAUUUUUAAGUGCAUUCACUUAUUUUGUGGGUGAAUACUAUUUUUAAGUUUUGUUACGUUUUCUUACCGUUUUUAUCUUCUGCAUCUUUUUGUAACUUGAUUAAUAAAUUUUAAAUAAGAAUGAAUGAGGCGAAAAUAUUAUUGCACCUUCUGAUGUAAUCAAUUGAAGAAAUGGUUUGAAUCGGAAAUGCUGUUUUGGUACGUUCUGGGUCUUUUGAUUACAACAAAGAAAUGUUCUAACAGUGAACAUUCUUACCAAAUCAUUACAUCUGGACAUAAAUUAUAUUAUUUACUCGGAAUACGUCGCGUUUCUUCCAGUCUUUAUUCAUAAACAGAAAGCAGUCACAAGAUUUGUAGAAAACACAAACAAAAAUAGAUUUCUGCAAUCAAAUGGUUUGAAUGAA